rnacentral:rRNA from 1 species
UGGGGAAUAUUGCACAAUGGGCGCAAGCCUGAUGCAGCCAUGCCGCGUGUGUGAAGAAGGCCUUCGGGUUGUAAAGCACUUUCAGCGGGGAGGAAGGCGUUAAGGUUAAUAACCUUGGCGAUUGACGUUACCCGCAGAAGAAGCACCGGCUAACUCCGUGCCAGCAGCCGCGGUAAUACGGAGGGUGCAAGCGUUAAUCGGAAUUACUGGGCGUAAAGCGCACGCAGGCGGUUGAUUGAGUCAGAUGUGAAAUCCCCGGGCUUAACCCGGGAAUUGCAUCUGAUACUGGUCAGCUAGAAUCUUGUAGAGGGGGGUAGAAUUCCAUGUGUAGCGGUGAAAUGCGUAGAGAUGUGGAGGAAUACCGGUGGCGAAGGCGGCCCCCUGGACAAAGACUGACGCUCAGGUGCGAAAGCGUGGGGAGCAAACAGG